UACGAAGGGGGCUAGCGUUGCUCGGAAUCACUGGGCGUAAAGGGUGCGUAGGCGGGUCUUUAAGUCAGAGGUGAAAUCCUGGAGCUCAACUCCAGAACUGCCUUUGAUACUGAGGAUCUUGAGUUCGGGAGAGGUGAGUGGAACUGCGAGUGUAGAGGUGAAGUUCGUAGAUAUUCGCAAGAACACCAGUGGCGAAGGCGGCUCACUGGCCCGAUACUGACGCUGAGGCACGAAAGCGUGGGAGCAACAGGGAUU
rnacentral:rRNA from 1 species